rnacentral:lncRNA from 1 species
AAACCUGGGUGUUAACACUUCACCACCUUUAAAAGUCUGGGGGCUAAACGACACUUUGCCGCCGCCGCCCCCUUGACUCGCCGGAACUACUGUUCCCGGCCUCCCCGAGCUCCCACAACCUCCAGGAUUAAAGAUUAAUACGCCCUAAAGCUACCCAUGGCAUCAUAUUGAACAACAACGCAACUAAUUGGCCGGAAAAUCGAUCGAAAGCUUCGCCGGCGGCGAGCUUUCUUCGAUUCCCAUGGCUUUAUAUACAGCUUUGGCGUCGAUUCUACACCCACACACACAUUCCCCAUGAACUCCUCUAUCUAUUCAUUCAUACCACUACUGCCCAGAUUCAUCAGAUUAAAAAUCCGGCCAAAAGCUUCAAAAUCCGGCAAGUUCAAUCAAGAACACGAAGAACAUUUAAACACAAGAAUCAAACCCCCUUUUCUAUAUGUUACGGAAGUCAAAAAUCAACAUAUAAUAUACCAAAACGACGAGCAAAACAUGCUCUACAUCAUAGAAUCAUCAAAACAAUCAAACAAUCACGUUUGCAAAAAUUCACUAUUUAAAUCAUAAUAAUUCGAAAUUAAAAACCUUAAUUAGCAAAAACCUGUCGAUUCUGCACUGAAACCACUGAUAGUAAUAGAUUCUACGCGUCGAUAGCUUCGUUUUGACUAUUCAUACACCUCCAUCGGAUUCCAAUAACACCUCCAAAUCCUCGUUUGAUUAUGAAGAACACGAAGAACACCGCUCGGUUUCUCUCGGUAUUCGUGCAGAGAAACUGGUGAAAUGAUUUUACGGGUGAAAAUAAGCUCUAGAAAGGUCUAUUUAUAUUUACAAAUAAUUGGUACCCCUUUGGAUCAUAUAUGACAUGAAAAUACGUAUUUAAUAGCUUUAUAUUAAUAAAGCGGGGUCCAAUCGGUACUGGUUUUCGAGAUAAUCAUCAAAACGGGGCAUUUUAAAUCAAUCAUUGGUCUGCGGGUCCCAUUUGCACGUAUUUCGAUAAAAAGUAAUAUAAUAAUCAAAAU